rnacentral:rRNA from 1 species
AUUGAACGCUGGCGGCAUGCCUUACACAUGCAAGUCGAACGGUAACAGGUCUUCGGAUGCUGACGAGUGGCGAACGGGUGAGUAAUACAUCGGAACGUGCCCGAGAGUGGGGGAUAACGAGGCGAAAGCUUUGCUAAUACCGCAUACGAUCUCAGGAUGAAAGCAGGGGACCGCAAGGCCUUGCGCUCACGGAGCGGCCGAUGGCAGAUUAGGUAGUUGGUGGGAUAAGAGCUUACCAAGCCGACGAUCUGUAGCUGGUCUGAGAGGACGACCAGCCACACUGGGACUGAGACACGGCCCAGACUCCUACGGGAGGCAGCAGUGGGGAAUUUUGGACAAUGGGCGCAAGCCUGAUCCAGCCAUGCCGCGUGCAGGAUGAAGGCCUUCGGGUUGUAAACUGCUUUUGUACGGAACGAAAAGACUCUGGUUAAUACCUGGGGUCCAUGACGGUACCGUAGGAAUAAGCACCGGCUAACUACGUGCCAGCAGCCGCGGUAACAC